GUGGCGGACGGGUGAGUAACACGUGGGUAACCUACCCAUCAGAGGGGGAUAACACUUGGAAACAGGUGCUAAUACCGCAUAACAGUUUAUGCCGCAUGGCAUAAGAGUGAAAGGCGCUUUCGGGUGUCGCUGAUGGAUGGACCCGCGGUGCAUUAGCUAGUUGGUGAGGUAACGGCUCACCAAGGCCACGAUGCAUAGCCGACCUGAGAGGGUGAUCGGCCACACUGGGACUGAGACACGGCCCAGACUCC
rnacentral:rRNA from 1 species